rnacentral:rRNA from 1 species
AUUGAACGCUGGCGGCAGGCCUAACACAUGCAAGUCGAACGAGUGGCGGACGGGUGAGUAAUGUCUGGGAAACUGCCUGAUGGAGGGGGAUAACUACUGGAAACGGUAGCUAAUACCGCAUACCAUCGGAUGUGCCCAGAUGGGAUUAGCUAGUAGGUGGGGUAAAGGCUCACCUAGGCGACGAUCCCUAGCUGGUCUGAGAGGAUGACCAGCCACACUGGAACCUAGACAAGGUCCAGACUCCUACGUGAGGCAGCAGUGGGGAAUAUUUGACAAUUGGCGCAAGCCCGAUGCCGCCAUGCCGCGUGUAUGAAGGAGGCCUUCGGGGUGUAAAGUCCUUUCAGCCGGGAGGCCUUACCCGCAGAAGAAGCCACCGCUAACUCCGUGCCAGCCGCCGCGGUAAUAC